GAUGAACGCUGGCGGCGUGCCUAAUACAUGCAAGUCGAGCGAACGGACGAGAAGCUUGCUUCUCUGAUGUUAGCGGCGGACGGGUGAGUAACACGUGGAUAACCUACCUAUAAGACUGGGAUAACUUCGGGAAACCGGAGCUAAUACCGGAUAAUAUUUUGAACCGCAUGGUUCAAAGUGGAAGGCCGUCUUGCUUGUCCCUAUUCAUGGAUCCGCGCCGCAUUAGCUAGUUGGUAAGGUAACGGCUUACCAAGGCAACGAUGCAUAGCCGACCUGAGAGGGUGAUCGGCCACACUGGAACUGAGACACGGUCCAGACUCCUACGGGAGGCAGCAGUAGGGAAUCUUCCGCAAUGGGCGAAAGCCUGACGGAGCAACGCCGAGUGAGUGAUGAAGGUCUUCGGAUCGUAAAACUCUGUUAUUAGGGAAGAACAUAUGUGUAAGUAACUGUGCACAUCUUGACGGUACCUAAUCAGAAAGCCACGGCUAACUACGUG
rnacentral:rRNA from 1 species